rnacentral:rRNA from 1 species
UACGUAGGUGGCAAGCGUUAUCCGGAAUUAUUGGGCGUAAAGCGCGCGCAGGCGGUUCUUUAAGUCUGAUGUGAAAGCCCACGGCUCAACCGUGGAGGGUCAUUGGAAACUGGGGGACUUGAGUGCAGAAGAGGAGAGCGGAAUUCCACGUGUAGCGGUGAAAUGCGUAGAGAUGUGGAGGAACACCAGUGGCGAAGGCGGCUCUCUGGUCUGUAACUGACGCUGAGGCGCGAAAGCUAGGGGAGCGAACGGG